CCAAUGGAGAUGGCCUAAUGGUA
rnacentral:siRNA from 1 species